rnacentral:tRNA from 1 species
GGUUCCAUAAUGUAGUGGUUAGCAUGUCUGCUUUACACACAGAAGGUUCUGGGUUUGAGCCCCAGUGGGGUCA